CAGCUGCGCUUUUUCCCGACCGGCGCGUCGCCUCCGAAGGGAAGGACUCCCGGCUAAGCGACGAGGGGCGGAGGCAAAUGGCCGCUGACAGGAAGAAGCAACAUUGUCCGAGUCAGCUCUCGCAGCCAACGAUUUAUAUUAAAAUGCUAAGCAGUGCGCUCCGGAUAACACGAACAAGUGGGAAACGCGGCCCAACUCCGUGCAUCUCGAACACAUCGUGCAAAAAACGCAGGUUACUCCCAAAGGUCUUUAAAGUCUGGAAGCAACAAGGAUGGAGCCAAGAAGCAGCACAUAGAAAAACUCUCUGCCCAACCCAGGAGUCCCUAGGCACAGCAAACUACUAAAUUAAAUGAAAUCCACCGAGAAAAAACAAUCAGAACUUGUAAGCAGCUACAUUGUGGGGGUUACUUUUAGUAUCAUUAUUAUGAUGAUUACGGUUUUAAAACCUAAACCAGAAAUAUGUUUAUCAACAGUUGCACUGCUAUAAUACCACAAAACAGGAUGCUGUACGAGAACUACAGAAUGGUACUCAGGCCUUGAUAUUUAAGGUCCGUAUGCUGUGUGGUAGUGUAGACAGUGUUUAGCUUACUAGAAUGCAUUUUAAAACAGAUGAAAACAGGUCAGAAGUGUAGCGCACUGAUAAAACAAUUCACACGAGGAACAAUCCCAAUCAACUCUGAACAGGAAACAGUUAAGUAUCUCUCUCUCCAACCUGGUAGCAAAUUUUAUUUUCUCCAAAACCUCUGUCAGUAGUAAAGCAUUAGAUAAAGUGCUACUAUUUGAAAUUCAAGAAAUUUAGGCAAAAAGUAAAUAUUUUAAAAUGUGUUAAAUAUCAAGUAAUUCCACCAAAUAAUGUCCGUCAAGGUCUCUUCAUUUCCAUAGUAUUAACAUUGUUUCCAAAGAGCCAUUUCCAAAGUGUUAACAUGGUCUUCAAAUCUCUCAAAGGCCAGAACAUUUGGUUUGAGGCGGGGCGGCUAACCUAUUCCCCUCCGCAUGUUGCUGAAUUACAACACUCAUCAUUUCUGACAACUGGCCACACUGGCCAAGGCUGUUGGGAGUUAAGAGUCCCAACAUCAUCUUGGAGGGCAACAGAUUAGUAACCUCUGCUUUAAAGGCAAUACAAUUUCACCACUUGCCCUCCAAUGACUGAAAGCAAAUACUUUCUAAACUUUCUUAAAAACUCAGAUUGCAACUGAUGUGAAAGCCUAUGGGUUGUUAAAGUUAAGCAUUCAAAGUUCCGGAUAGGCAAAGAAGACUUUCUCCUAAUCUUUUUACUACACCAUUCCGAAGACUGAGAAGCAACCAUUUUAACUUUGGUUUGUAUUUCUUCUAAUUUGGCGGCAUUGAAUAAAUCAAAGCGAACAUAUUGAUUUUCCUGUACGUCACUUCCAGUAUUGCCAUACUUGGCUCUGCAGUUUUAACAAAUGAAAUAACUGCUUUGUUAUACAA